rnacentral:lncRNA from 1 species
UAGCCCCCUCCCUCCUAGCCAUUUUGGACCAAUUGGAAAGUCUUGGAGAGGGUCUUGGUGGAUCAUUGGAGGCCAUGGGAUUAUACUUGGCUUAGGAUAGCCUUGAAAGAUAUUUGUUGUGGAAAAUCAAGGCUUUGUGGAGCCCUCACUUCUCACUCUUAUCCAUCUCUCUCUCCCCUCUACCGCUCCAUUGGACGACCUCAGCCAGCGGAAGAGAGAAACUGACGCUGCUUCUCCAUCCGUGUCUUCUGCCGAGCGUCCACCAAACUGCCCGAGAAGCUCAGCAUCCGCCGAAUUCUCCACCGCUUCGUGUCUUCAGCCAGCUCACGCUCGGUCAACAACGAAACCAGAAGAAGCCCCGUCGUUGACUGAAGAUCCUCACCGCACGAAGUCAAGACCGCCUGUUUCUCCACUAUCUUCUUGCGCCUUCUGCCCCCAAAGACCCGAGCUCCACGCGGCUUCAAUUUUCGUGAAGCCUUGCUGACCGAAGACUCCACCGAGCUUUCUUCAUGCCGCCACGAGUCCAACGUCUUCAGCCCGUGCAUCUCGUGGAGUCCAUGAAGACCGAGCAACCCAGUUGCUGAUCGCCCCGUCACCACACGUCCGUGAAGAUCAAACCCCACCGAACGAAACAGCUUGUCUCCACGCCAGCAUGCUAGUCAACUCCAACGCCCACGGAAGACCACCGAUUCAACCAAGUCUUCAUCUGCGAAAUCCUCCGAGCAUCCUCACGCCGCCAGCAACAUCCACCGAGCAACACCACCGAAGAGAAGCCGCACGUAUCCACCGAAUUCUGCCGUUUGUCCGUGCUUCCCUCCACGCGUCCGAGCCCCAACUCAUUCGGUCCAUCAUCUCGCCGUGAAACCUCGAGAUCCACCGAGUUGCCAACCGUUGCCAGCGUCUUCGGUCUCCUCAGUCAGCGAAUCCAGCUGCCUGAAGCCCAACAAAUCCUGCAGUUUCAGUCUUCUUUUGUUCGUGGGCCAACCACAGCGAGCCCAUUCCAUUUUUCAGUGGCCCAACGUCAACUCUUUGGAAGCCUGUGAUCAAGCAGCCCACAAGCCCAGUUCAGUUCAAUGACAACCCAGACCACCGAUUUGUUGGGCCAAGCUUAAGGCCUGGUCCAAGUCCGCCAGUGUCGUCGAAAGUCCGAUUUCGGCCGCCAUCGUGUCGCCGUUGCGGUGAUUCGAUCUCCGCUUUCGUCAAGUGAGUUUUACUCACUAAUGCUUUAUUAGUUUGCUAAAUUCGUUUAGGGGUUGGUUAGAUUUAAUUAAAUGCAAUUAGGUGGUUAGAUUAGUUUAGAUCAAUUAAAUUAGAGACUUAAUGAUGCAUGUUAGGUGGUUAUAAAUAGACAUUAGCAAGAGGACAUGCCAUGUUAUUUAUGGAACGAGUCUCGGUAAUUUUCCGGGUUCGUAUCGGCUUCCAAUUAGGCUAUAACGGGCCUAAGUUGGAUUUAUUGCAUUUAUUUAAUAUUUUUCGUAAUUAUUUAAUUAUUUAUUUAUUUUCCGGAAAUUAGGCUGGGAUAUCCGACGACCGAAAUUUUGUGCUGAUUCCAAUGGUGCUUUCUGUUUAUUUAUUCGAGAAUCAGAUUAUGAAAUUUUUGUGAAAUUGGUGAAUAUGAGAAUUGUCCCAAAAUUGGGAAAAUGUCAGUACUUGAAGGGAAAGUAACUGUGUGAGGUUGUGAGUUGGAUUAAAAAUUGCCAGGUGGGGCCGUGAUGCCACCAAGUUGAGAAAAAUUGCCAGGUGGGGCCGUGAUGCCACCAAAUCUAGAACAUUUGCCAGGUGGGGCCGUGAUGCCACCAAGUUUAGAAAAUUUGCCGAGUGGGGCCGUGAUUCCACUAAAAAUAAAUUAUGCCUAUAGGGUUGUGAUUCAGAGUCAAGAAUGAAGAGUCGGGAUGACCGUGUAAUGUUUUGAUGACAUGUAAUCGACUGAGUCGAUUGAUCGUUAAUCCGAUCUGAUUGGGUGAUGUGAUGUGAUGAUGUAUACUUGAUAUAUAUACAUACUAACUUGCAGGAAGGAGCUGAGGCCAAGGUAAGCCCUCUGGCUCAUGAUGUGCUUAGGCAGCCCUCAAGGCGUAUUAGUUUACUAAUCGAGUCGUAGGGGGUAGGACUCGCUGAGACGUGGUCUCAUUGGUUAUUGAAUAACCAUUUCAGGAACCUGAGGAGAAGCUAAGGAAGAGGAACCUGAAGGGGAGAAAGACUUUUGAAGAAGAAGAUGAUCCAGAGAGGGAUCUUAAAUAUAACCCGUAUGUGGACUGAGAUCCCAUCCCUUUUGUAAACCCUGUCUUAGUAUAGAUAGGUGUGAGACAAGUAUGUUGUGAAUAGUAUUGUAAAUAUACUAUGAGUUGUGAUGUUAAUGAAAGUGUGGUUAUGAAUUUCAAUAUGAAAAAUAUGGC